rnacentral:misc_RNA from 1 species
GAUGAAGAACGUAGCGAAAUGCGAUAAGUAAUGUGAAUUGCAGAAUUCAGUGAAUCAUCGAAUCUUUGAACGCACAUCGCGCCCUUUGGCAUUCCGAGGGGCAUGCCUGUUCGAGCGUCAUUACACCACUCAAGCCUGGCUUGGUAUUGGGCGACACGGUUUCCGUGUGCCUCGAUUUCACCGGCUGGACGACCCGAUUCUCAGCGUUGUGGCAAUCAAUUCGCUCGGGAGAGGGGAGUCCGCGCCGUUAAACCUUUCUAUUAGGUUGACCUCGGAUCAGGUAGGGAUACCCGCUGAACUUAAGCAUAUCAAUAAGCGGAGGA